UGGGGAAUAUUGCACAAUGGGGGAAACCCUGAUGCAGCAACGCCGCGUGAAGGAAGAAGUAUCUCGGUAUGUAAACUUCUAUCAGCAGGGAAGAAAAUGACGGUACCUGACUAAGAAGCUCCGGCUAAAUACGUGCCAGCAGCCGCGGUAAUACGUAUGGAGCAAGCGUUAUCCGGAUUUACUGGGUGUAAAGGGAGCGUAGGCGGUUAUGCAAGUCAGAUGUGAAAGCCCGGGGCUUAACCCCGGGACUGCAUUUGAAACUGUGUAACUAGAGUGUCGGAGAGGUAAGUGGAAUUCCUAGUGUAGCGGUGAAAUGCGUAGAUAUUAGGAGGAACACCAGUGGCGAAGGCGGCUUACUGGACGAUAACUGACGCUGAGGCUCGAAAGCGUGGGGAGCAAA
rnacentral:rRNA from 1 species